rnacentral:rRNA from 1 species
AUUGAACGCUGGCGGCAUGCCUUACACAUGCAAGUCGAACGGCAGCGCGGGAGCAAUCCUGGCGGCGAGUGGCGAACGGGUGAGUAAUAUAUCGGAACGUGCCCAGUAGUGGGGGAUAGCCGGCGAAAGCCGGAUUAAUACCGCAUGAGACCUGAGGGUGAAAGCGGGGGAGUCGCAAGACCUCGCGCUAUUGGAGCGGCCGAUAUCAGAUUAGGUAGUUGGUGGGGUAAAGGGCUCACCAAGCCAACGAUCUGUAGCUGGUCUGAGAGGACGACCAGCCACACUGGGACUGAGACACGGCCCAGACUCCUACGGGAGGCAGCAGUGGGGAAUUUUGGACAAUGGGCGAAAGCCUGAUCCAGCCAUGCCGCGUG